GCCUCUGUAGCUCAAUGGAAGAGCGGUUCCGUCCUAAGGAAAAGGUUGGGGGUUCGACUCCCUCCAGGGGCACC
rnacentral:tRNA from 1 species